rnacentral:tmRNA from 1 species
GGGGCCGACAGGUUUCGAUUUGAAAAUCGAGAUAAUGCAAGCAUGCCGGGAGCUGACUUGGACAACCGUUAUCAAUCCAUGUCACCAAACAAACGCCAAGACUGAUUCUUCGCGCAACUUCCAGCUCGCCGCCUGAAAACGGUUUGCCGGGAAGCGGAUUCGCUGGAUUGCUGUAACGCGAUUCCGGAAAAAGGACAGCAAAAAACUCGAUGAACGGCAACUGUUCACCGUUUCAGAAUUAGUUGCAGAACUGUUCCAACGCGCCCUAUCGACAGGAACUUUUACAUGAAAAUAGGGAUAAACAUGUAGAAAACAUCAUCAACGUUUUCAAAGACGAGGGUUCAAUUCCCUCCGGCUCCACGA